UACGUAGGGUGCAAGCGUUAAUCGGAAUUACUGGGCGUAAAGCGUGCGCAGGCGGUUUUGUAAGUCUGACGUGAAAUCCCCGGGCUCAACCUGGGAAUUGCGUUGGAGACUGCAAGGCUAGAAUCUGGCAGAGGGGGGUAGAAUUCCACGUGUAGCAGUGAAAUGCGUAGAUAUGUGGAGGAACACCGAUGGCGAAGGCAGCCCCCUGGGUCAAGAUUGACGUUCAUGCACGAAAGCGUGGGGAGCAAACAGG
rnacentral:rRNA from 1 species